CCCUUAGAUGUUCUGGGCCGCACGCGCGCGACACUGAUGCAUUCAACGAGUUUCUUCCUGGUCCGAGAGGAAUGGGUAACCUUUUGAAAGUGCAUCGUGAUAGGGAUAGACUAUUGCAAUUAUUGGUCUUCAACGAGGAAUUCCUAGUAGACGUAGUUCAUCAGACUGCAUCGAUUACGUCCCUGCCCUUUGUACACACCGCCCGUCGCUCCUACCGAUUGAAUGCUCAGGUGAGCCAUUCGGACUUUCAUCAUGCUGGUUUCCAGUUUUGAUGAAGGAAAGUCUUGCGAACCUUAUCAUUUAGAGGAAGGAGAAGUCGUAACA
rnacentral:rRNA from 1 species